rnacentral:tRNA from 1 species
GCUGGAUUAGCUCAGCUGGUUAGAGCAUUCCCAUGGUAAGGGAAAGGUCCUGAGUUCGAAUCUCAGAUCCAGCU